CUACCACUGAGGAGUCCCACAAUAGGACGAAACGGCCGUCAAGUGC
rnacentral:hammerhead_ribozyme from 1 species